UUAGCCCUAAACACAGAUAAUUAUAUAAACAAAAUUAUUCGCCAGAGUACUACUAGCAAUAGCUUAAAACUCAAAGGACUUGGCGGUGCUUCAUAUCCCUCUAGAGGAGCCUGUUCUAUAAUCGAUAAACCCCGAUAAACCUCACCAAUUCUUGCUAAUACAGUCUAUAUACCGCCAUCUUCAGCAAACCCUAAAAAGGAAUAAAAGUAAGCGUAAUCAUAGCACAUAAAAAAGUUAGGUCAAGGUGUAACCUAUGAAAUGGAAAGAAAUGGGCUACAUUUUCUUAAAUCAAGAAAACCAAUACACGAAAGCUAUUAUGAAAUUAAUAGCCAAAGGAGGAUUUAGCAGUAAACUAAGAAUAGA
rnacentral:rRNA from 1 species